rnacentral:rRNA from 1 species
ACAGAGGUCCCAAGCGUUGUUCGGAUUUACUGGGCGUAAAGGGUGCGUAGGUGGCGGGGUAAGUCGGAUGUGAAAUCUCCAGGCUCAACCUGGAAAUGGCAUUGGAAACUACCUUGCUGGAGAGUUGGAGGGGGGACUGGAAUACUUGGUGUAGCAGUGAAAUGCGUAGAUAUCAAGUGGAACACCAGUGGCGAAGGCGAGUCCCUGGACAACUUCUGACGCUGAGGCACGAAAGCUAGGGGAGCAAACAGGA